UACGGAAGGGGCUAGCGUUGUUCGGAUUUACUGGGCGUAAAGCGCACGUAGGCGGCGGACCGAGUUAGGCGUGAAAGCCCUGGGCUCAACCCGGGAAUAGCGCUUAAGACUGGUUUGCUGGAGUCCGGGAGAGGGUGGUGGAACUCCCAGUGUAGAGGUGAAAUUCGUAGAUAUUGGGAAGAACACCGGUGGCGAAGGCGGCCGCCUGGACCGGUACUGACGCUGAGGUGCGAAAGCGUGGGGAGCAAACAGG
rnacentral:rRNA from 1 species